GAUGAACGCUAGCGGCGGGCUUAAUACAUGCAAGUCAAGGGGUAGCAAUACACCGGCGUACGGGUGCGUAACGCGUAUGGAACCUGCCCUUAUCUGGGGGAUAACUCGGGGAAACUCGAGCUAAUACCGCAUAAGAUAGUAGAAUGGCAUCAUUCAGCUAUUAAAGAUUUAUCGGAUAAGGAUGGCCAUGCGUAAGAUUAGAUAGUUGGUGGGGUAACGGCUCACCAAGUCUACGAUCUUUAGGGGCUCUGAGAGGAGAAUCCCCCACACUGGCACUGAGAUACGGGCCAGACUCCUACGGGAGGCAGCAGUAGGGAAUAUUGGGCAAUGGGCGGAAGCCUGACCCAGCCACGCCGCGUGCAGGAAGAAGGCCCUCUGGGUUGUAAACUGCUUUUGAUUGGGAAGUAAGCAUCUCAUGCGUGGGAUUUUGACGGUACCAAUCGAAUAAGCCACGGCUAACUACGUGCCAGCCGCCGCGGUAACAC
rnacentral:rRNA from 1 species